rnacentral:rRNA from 1 species
UACGUAGGGUGCGAGCGUUGUCCGGAAUUAUUGGGCGUAAAGCGCGUGUAGGCGGCUUUGCAAGUCGGGUGUGAAAGCCCUCAGCUCAACUGAGGAAGUGCGCCCGAAACUGCAGAGCUUGAGUACCGGAGAGGAUGGCGGAAUUCCCCAAGUAGAGGUGAAAUUCGUAGAUAUGGGGAGGAACACCGGUGGCGAAGGCGGCCAUCUGGACGGUCACUGACGCUGAGACGCGAAAGCGUGGGGAGCAAACAGG